AGAUAGUAAAAAUAGUCCCUAAGGGUCGCAACAAGUCGGCACAAGGCCCCAAACAUGGCAUACAACCCAAAAAUAUAAUAAUGUCAAACAAUUAACUAUCAAAUACGCAUUAAAAUAUUCAUUCGGCAUGGACUAGGUCACAAUCCCCAGUAGUGCUCUACCCCACACUCGUCAUCUAGCAUGCAAGUCACCUCAAAGUAACACAACGACGUAUAAUCCGGGGUUUCAAACCCUCAGGAUAGUAUUUAUAAUCAUUACUUACCUCGAACCGGUGAAAUCUCUAGCUCGCGAUGCCUUUGACCCUCAAAUUGGCCUCCACGCGCAUCGAAUCUAUCCAAAAUCACACAAACAUUGAUGAAGCUCGAUUUCUAAAAGACGGGGUUUAGCCAUACAUAUCUGGGACUUGCCCUUUAAUGGUACAACAAUGAUCCACUACUCUUAGGUAACUUCAAUCUACAAUACAACAAUCAAUAGAGCUAAUAUUAGUAAUAAUUCCCAUAACUUAUGCCAUUUAGGCCUAUUAUCAAACAUCUUGUAGGCAUAGAUAUUUAUACCUCAUAACUAUAGUAUUGGUUCCUCCAUCACUAUUAACCAACAAUUUCAACCCACCAUUAGUCUUUAACAAUUUAUGCUCCUAACAUCACAUGAGUGAUCAAUCAUUCACACCCAACCAACAAAAUUCCAUCAACUAAUCACCUUUAAAUCCCUACCAUGAUCAUGUAUUUAAAUUGGAAAUUUAUGGCCUCCAAUCACCAUACCCCAAGUUCUAAUGUAUAUAUCAUACAUAAAUAAUCACCAUAGAGUAGUUGGAGAUGAUAGACAUACCUCUUGUAGUACGAAUUUUAAGAAUCCCCACUUGUGGUGUUCUUGAUAAAUUCAAGGAUUUGAAGGAAAAUCUAAGGAUUUUCAAGAUCAAUUCGUGUUAAUAUAAGUGUUUAGGAGUAGUAAUCAACUCAAAAUACCCCAAAAAUCUUACCUUGGAUCAUAGAAAUGAUGAGUGGGACGGAUUCCUCUUGAGAGAGCAAGCCCUUGCUCCAAAAAUAACUUGGGAACUCUCUAUACCCGGUCUUGGGGUAUUUAGGGGCCUGCUACUAGCGCGGUUGUGCACCUGGGCGCGCUAAAGUAGCGCGACGAAGGCAGAAAACUUCGCAAUAUGUGAGUUCACUAGCGCAAUUGCGCAUCUGGGCGCUCUAGAGACAUAUGCCCAGUAAAAUGGUCAUAACUUUCUGUUUACACCUCAAAAUGACGAAUGGUUUGUUGCAUCGGAAACUAGACCCAAAGGGAUGUAAUUUGAUAGUUUGUGGAUCACACAACUCCUUAUAUAACUGGAUAUAUGAUUGUCCAAAGUUAGGUCUUGUGCGCACUCAUUUACAACUUUCGUCUAUUAUGAAAUUUUCCAACCUCAAAAGUUCCCGUUAGCCAUCCGAAAUCACCCCGAGGCCCGCGGGACCUCAACCAAAAGCACUAACGUAUCUUUAAACAUCAUCCAAACUUGUUCCAAUCAUCACAACGAUGCAACUAACACAAAAAUUAUCGAAUUCAAGCCUAAGUUCUUUUAAAACUUCUAAAAUACGCAUUCGAUCAAAAACCCAACCAAACCACGUCGGAAUGACCUGAAAUUUUGCACACACAUCCCAAAUCACCUAACGAAGCACAACAACUCUCGGAAUUCUAUUUCGACCCUCGGAUCAAAAUCUCACCCAUCAACCGAAAAUCACCAAAAUACUAACUUCGCCAAUUCAAGCCUAAUUCUAUACCGGACCUCCAAAAUCACUUCCGAUCACGCUCCUAGGUCAUAAAUCACCCAACGAAACUAUCCAAAUCAUAAAAUUUCCGAUCCAAGCUCAUAUACAAAUAAGUCAACCUUUCAAAUUCAAAGAUUUCAACUGAGACUGUUCCUUCAAAUUCAUUCCGAUUUUUCCUGAAAACCAAAACCAACAAUCUACAUCAGUCAUAAUAUGUUACACGGGGCAAGUCAUGCCCGGGAACUUGCGAUCAAAGUACAAAAUUUCAAAAUGACCGGUCAGGUCGUUACAGAAGGACACUUCAAAUGGCUAGUAAUGCCGUUCGGGCUAAAAACAGCUCCACCAAUUUUUCAACGAAAAAUGGAUAGUAUAUUUGGAGAAUAUAAGAGAUUUGUUUUAGUAUAUGUAGAUGAUAUACUAGUAUUUAGUAAAGAUAUUAAAGAACAUUUAGGAAAUUUACAGACAGUAUUUAGAUUAUUUGUAGAUAAUGGAAUAAUAAUUAGUAAAAAGAAGAUGGAACUAUGUAAGAAUUAUAUAAAUUUUCUAGGAGUAAUAUUAGGGGAUGGAAAAAUUAAAUUACAACCCCAUGUAGCUAAAAAGGCCCUAGAAAUGCCAGAUAAAUUAGAUAGUACCAAAGAGCUACAAAAGUUUUUGGGAAUAGUAAAUUAUACCAGAAAAUUUAUUAAAGACUUAGGAAAAAUAGCAGGACCAUUAUAUGCUAAGACAGGAGCUACAGGACAAAAAUAUUUUAAUACAGAAGACAUUAAAUUAGUACAAAAAUUAAAGAAAAAUAAAAAAUAUUCCUAAUCUAAAUAUGCCACUAGAAACAAACUACUUGAUAAUAUAAAUAGACGAUAGUUUUGAAGGAUGGGGAGCAGUUCUAAAAGCAAAACCAAAUAAAUAUAGUGAUAAGAUAAUAAAAAAAAUAUGUGCUUAUCAAAGUGGUAAAUAUAAAGAUAAAGGAAAUGUGAGUAGUAUAGAUGCAGAGAUAUUAGCUGUAAUUUAAGGAUUAAAUAGUUAUAAAUUANNNNNNNNNNNNNNNNNNNNNNNNNAUGUACAACAUGAGACUAACAAUUUCCAAGACUGAAGACAAAGGGAAGGGCAUUCAAGCCUCACCCUCAUACAGAUACUUGCAGACAGUAUUAGGUAAUCUUCAUUUUAAGCCACAUCCUUUGGGAGAACAGACCAAUAUUGAAAGAAAAAUUUUGGAAAACAUAAUUUAAUAUUUUUUCCACCAUCAAACAUGUCAUUUAGAGUCUUACCAGAAUGUGUCAUAGACAGACCUCAACGGUGUUUAAUUGAUAACUUAUGGAUAGCAUAUAAUAAGAAAUACACUAAAUAUUUUAUAGCGUCUCUUAAUGCCUUAGGACAAUAUUUUACAGAUAAAAACCAAGACAAAAGAUUUAAGUAUUAUGUGGUUAUACAUGGUAAGAUAAAUGAUAUUUUUCAGACAUGGUUAGAAGUACUAGAUUCCAUUAAGGAUAUAGAAAAACCACUUUUCAAGGGUUUUAAUGAUUUUACUGAAGCAUUAGAUUAUGCAAGAGAAAUACUAGGACCAAACUACUAUAUUUCCCCAGCACUCAGACAAAACCCAGAAAAACCCCUCAAUACAAUAUCUGAAAAGACAAUGAUAAGAUAAUAUUCUGUGAUCAUUGUUCAUCAAUGACAGAAGCCUUUAAACGAAUAAACCAGAAAAAUGAAACCCUGGCACAAGAGAAGACAAAACUUAUGGAGCAGGUAAAGGUAUUGAAACACAGGGUACAAGCGUUAAAAUUUGAACUAUCCCAGACUCAAGUUAUUUCUCAACAAGAUACAAAGAUGAACAGUCCAAAACAGAGUUCUUCAUCCUAAACAAAAAUGGAUGAGAAGGGUGUGCAUUCCCCAAUGAAUGCAGCUAGAUCCACUAUAUCAGAUAAUGAUAUAGCUAGUCCGGUUCAAACGGUAAUAGGUAAAGACACAACAAAUCCGUUUAUGGCUGUCACAUUGCCAAAAAGUGAAGAUGAAGGUUCAUCGAGAAGAAGACUACCUAGAACAUUAACUCCCAGACAUUAGAAAACUUUUUUCUAGACAAGGAAGAAUAAGACAAACACAUGGUUAAGAAUCCAAGUCCAAGAUCAAGUCUAAAUCUAAGUCCAAAUCCAGAAAAGACCCAAAGUUCAGGAGAAGAUGAUAACUAUGAAGACAACAUAAAUUAUCAAGAUGCUCAAGAUCCAUAUGAAGAUGAGUCAGAAAUGAGUUUCGAUUCAAUAGCUAUACAUAAUUUAAACACAUAAAAGCAAAGUCCCAGUUAAACAACAAUUAAAGAGCACCAAAGACAAAGGAAAUAAGGUUGGUAUAUAGAGCAAUAAUGAUAGCAUACCAAUGAGAAAAACAAGAAGGAAAAGAAUAUGUGACAGAGAAAUGCUAGAUGUGCUAAAAGACAAAAGUGACAAGCGAUAUAAAGUAAAGAAGAUGUGACAAGAGGUAAUGUUAGUUGUGCUAAAAGACAAGUUAAAAUUUUGAGUGGAAGAAAAAGUUACAAACACGGAAGGAAUCUCCGACCAAGCCAUGUGAAGAUGAGGCCCAAUGAAGUAUCCUGCAAGGCUUGACAAGAUAGAAUUCAGAAGAGUUUGUAAUCCGUUUUUCAAAUCCGUCCCAAAAUUUAGCUAUAAAAAGUAGAAGAAAGCAGAAGAAAAACAAGACCGAAGAGAAGAAAAACACUCUGAAGAAAACCCAUCCAACCAAACUUUUCAUCAUNN
rnacentral:lncRNA from 1 species